GUUGUUGGUAGUGCCGCCGCCACCCUCGCCAGCGCCGUCCCCCGCCUGCGGAGGUAGCAGCGUCGGCGGUCCCUCUGGCUCUAACUUGACCGCCACCUCCGUCUGCUCCUCCGCCAGCGCCGCCAUCUUGCGGCUGAGCCACCUCGCGCCGUCAAGCGUGAUUGCGUUUUCGCCACUUGGAGGGCGGGGAGGAGAGUUUUACGACACCUUGGGAAGGCCAUAUACGGCAGUAGGAGGGGCGAGAAAGAAGGAGAAAAAGAAUAGGAGGAAGAGCAAGUUUCAAAAAGUGGCUCAACCGAAACCCAAAGAGGUUAAACAACUUGCCAAAGUCACGCAAGAAGAAAGUGAAAGUGUCAAAAUUCGAAUCCAGGUCUCUAACUCAAAAGCAUAUCCCAUAGCCUGAAGGUGGCUUCUGAGAUACUGGUAGAGACUCCCAGAGUAGGAUUGCCAAAAGGUAAAAG